UAAAGCUAAGAAAAGAAGCAUUCCGCUUACACCGGAAAGAAUGUUGUGAAAUUCAACGUACUUUAAAAUAU
rnacentral:tRNA from 1 species